UACGUAGGGGGCUAGCGUUAUCCGGAAUUACUGGGCGUAAAGGGUGCGUAGGUGGUUUCUUAAGUCAGAGGUGAAAGGCUACGGCUCAACCGUAGUAAGCCUUUGAAACUGGGAAACUUGAGUGCAGAAGAGGAGAGUGGAAUUCCAUGUGUAGCGGUGAAAUGCGUAGAUAUAUGGAGGAACACCAGUGGCGAAGGCGACUCUCUGGUCUGUAACUGACGCUGAGGCUCGAAAGCGUGGGGAGCAAACAGGAUUAGAUACCCUGGUAGUCCCU
rnacentral:rRNA from 1 species